rnacentral:rRNA from 1 species
AGAGCGAACGCUGGCGGCGUGCUUAACACAUGCAAGUCGAGUGCGCGUCCCGAUAGCAAUAUCGGGAUGGCGCACGGCGCACGGGUGCGUAACACGUGGGCAAUCUGCCCUCGGAUGGGGGAUACCCCCGCGAAAGCGGGACUAAUACCGCAUGACAUUCCUGGGACUCCGGUCCCGGGACUCAAAGCCCGCAAGGGCGUCUGAGGAGGAGCCCGCGCCCGAUUAGCUAGUUGGUGAGGUAACGGCUCACCAAGGCUUUGAUCGGUA